GGACGAACGCUGGCGGCGUGCUUAACACAUGCAAGUCGAGCGGUAAGGCCCUUCGGGGUACACGAGCGGCGAACGGGUGAGUAACACGUGGGUGAUCUGCCUCGCACUUCGGGAUAAGCCUGGGAAACUGGGUCUAAUACCGGAUAUGACCACUGGUCGCAUGGUUGGUGGUGGAAAGAUUUAUCGGUGCGAGAUGGGCCCGCGGCCUAUCAGCUUGUUGGUGGGGUAAUGGCCUACCAAGGCGACGACGGGUAGCCGGCCUGAGAGGGCGACCGGCCACACUGGGACUGAGACACGGCCCAGACUCCUACGGGAGGCAGCAGUGGGGAAUAUUGCACAAUGGGCGAAAGCCUGAUGCAGCGACGCCGCGUGAGGGAUGACGGCCUUCGGGUUGUAAACCUCUUUCGACAGGGACGAAGCGUGAGUGACGGUACCUGUAGAAGAAGCACCGGCCAACUACGU
rnacentral:rRNA from 1 species